GACGAACGCUGGCGGCGUGCUUAACACAUGCAAGUCGAACGGAAAGGCCCUGCUUGCAGGGUACUCGAGUGGCGAACGGGUGAGUAACACGUGGGUGAUCUGCCCUGCACUUCGGGAUAAGCCUGGGAAACUGGGUCUAAUACCGGAUAGGAGCCAUUUUUAGUGUGAUGGUUGGAAAGUUUUUUCGGUGUAGGAUGAGCUCGCGGCCUAUCAGCUUGUUGGUGGGGUAAUGGCCUACCAAGGCGGCGACGGGUAGCCGGCCUGCGGGGGUGGACGGCCACAUUGGGACUGAGAUACGGCCCAGACUCCUACGGGGGGCAGCAGUGGGGAAUAUUGCGCAAUAGGCGCCAGCCUGAUGCAGCGACGCCGCGUGGGGGGUGACGGCCUUCGGGUUGUAAACUCCUUUCGCUAGGGACGAAGCUUUUUGUGACGGUACCUAGAUAAGAAGCACCGGCUAACUACGUG
rnacentral:rRNA from 1 species